GGAGAAUUAGCUGCGCAACCAGCAAGCUGGUUUCCCCCACUGCAAGAUUUACAACAAGCCAGUUUAAGGCGAAAGAUUUUCACAUUCUACGCUUCCCGUUCUGCCUUUGUUCUUUAGUUGCUAAAGGUUUUGGUGGACCUGAGGCCAGUUUUCGGGUCCAGCGAAGUUCUCGCCACGCUAGUCGGGGAUGAGGUUAUGCUACCCGGGGUAUCGCUGACAGUCCCGGCGGUAAAUAACAGCAAUUCACCGUGGUCAGCGUUUUGCGUCGGCACCAGCGGGAUCCUUGAAGCUUCUAGAUGUCCUGCAGAGGAUGACCUUGACCCAGCAAACUGCUCUGCGUGCUGUCUGAAAAAGGGGUACCAGUUUGCAGUGUUGACGUCUGAGAGGUGUUACUGUGGAAACUGGCGCUACGCUUUAGUGGCCGGUGAGGGCUUCCACACGUCUUCCAGAGGAGGUGACAGAGAGGAAAGACGAAGGUGAGAUCGCAGCAUGUCCAUUCAGUUAAAUGAGUCUAAAUUCAGAUAUGUGAUAGAUGCGAUCUUGCGUGUGUCUCUCAUGUCUUCCCUGCUGUCCUCUCCUCUCUGGAGUCGGACAGGUUCAGUCUUCAUCUGUUUUAUCCUCCACAGUGCUUCUGUUGUGAAGAUUUCAGAUUCAAACCCGCCUACAGGUAAUGUCUAAAAAUAUAGUUUGUGUUGUUUUUGUAACAAUACUCUUUUUCAGGAAAAAAGGUGUAAUUUCUCAAGCAAAAUAAA
rnacentral:lncRNA from 1 species